rnacentral:lncRNA from 1 species
UUGAACCUUUUUUUGCAUUAAAUAAAUUUUUUGAUUUUUUUUUUUACAAUAAUAUUAACGGAUAAUUGAACCGAUCCAAAACCUAAAUAGGUUUGUAAAAAGAACUAAACCAAUAACAUCUGAAAUUGAAAUAAACCGAACAAAAACCGGAGAAGGAAACCGGAAACCAGAUCGGGGAAGAAACCCUAGCUGCCACAAAAGAGAGUCCGCCGCCGAACACGCUUCCACCACCGUUCAAAACCAGACCAACCCACCACCCGUCAAAACCAGACCAACCCACCACCCGUCAAAACCAGACCAACCCACCACCCGUCAAAACCAGACCAACCCACCACCCGUCAAAACCAGACCAACCCACCACCCCUCAAGACGUCAACCACACAGCUACCACUAGGUAAAAUUACCACAACCGCCCCCAGAUAAACCACAAGCCAAACCAGCACCGGAACAAGACCACCGACGAAGCGCAGAAAAAGAAGACUCUGCUAGAAUGAUUUUCCCUCCGAUAAAACUCGAGCGGCACAGGACCACCGCCAAAAGCGAGGCAGAGCCAAAGACAACCACCAUCGCUAUCACUCCGAGAGGCAAGCGCACCGCACAGCUAACCAAAGCCAAGAGCGGAAGAGAGGUGAGGGGGGGAAAGCCAUUGGAGGGAGACUCACCGAGAAAACUCCACACUUCGCUUACACCGACUAAAGGCACCAGAACCACCACGCAGAAGCUUCAACGCCAAACACCGCCGAACGCACACCGAGAAAGGAUCCGUCACCAAGCCAUGUCCUCGAGGCCAGAUCUGAAAACCUUUCCGCUGCACCACAGAAGCAAACAAGCCUCACCGCAGCGCUGGAGCUUUAAUCUCUUCCAGAAGUCACCGGAGCAGUCCACUUACCACUGAUGAAGCACCAUCGAUUCACAAAAGGUGGUGGCUCCCUCACGACGCCGGCAUCGCCA